rnacentral:rRNA from 1 species
GACGAACCGUGCGAACGUUGUUCGGAAUCACUGGGCUUAAAGGGCGCGUAGGCGGGCAGUCAAGUCAAGGGUGAAAUCCUGCGGCUCAACCGUAGAAGAGCCCCUGAUACUGGCUGCCUCGAGGGAGGUAGGGGCGUGUGGAACUUCCGGUGGAGCGGUGAAAUGCGUAGAUAUCGGGAAGAACACCCGUGGCGAAGGCGGCUCUCUGGGACGGUACUGACGCUGAGACGCGAAAGCGUGGGGAGCAAACAGG